UGGGGAAUAUUGCACAAUGGAGGGAACUCUGAUGCAGCGACGCCGCGAGAACGAAGAAGGCUUUCGAGUCGUAAAGUUCUUUUAUAUGGGAAGAUAAUGACGGUACCAUAAGAAAAAGCCCCGGCUAACUACGUGCCAGCAGCCGCGGUAAUACGUAGGGGGCUAGCGUUGUCCGGAAUCACUGGGCGUAAAGGGUUCGCAGGCGGAAAUGCAAGUCAGGUGUAAAAGGCAGUAGCUUAACUACUGUAAGCAUUUGAAACUGCAUAUCUUGAGAAGAGUAGAGGUAAGUGGAAUUUUUAGUGUAGCGGUGAAAUGCGUAGAUAUUAAAAAGAAUACCGGUGGCGAAGGCGGCUUACUGGGCUCAUUCUGACGCUGAGGAACGAAAGCGUGGGUAGCAAACAGG
rnacentral:rRNA from 1 species